AUUGAACGCUGGCGGCAUGCUUUACACAUGCAAGUCGAACGGCAGCGCGGGCUUCGGCCUGGCGGCGAGUGGCGAACGGGUGAGUAAUGCAUCGGAACGUGCCCAGUAGUGGGGGAUAGCCCGGCGAAAGCCGGAUUAAUACCGCAUACGACCUGAGGGUGAAAGCGGGGGACCGAAAGGCCUCGCGCUAUUGGAGCGGCCGAUGUCGGAUUAGCUAGUUGGUGGGGUAAAGGCUUACCAAGGCGACGAUCCGUAGCUGGUCUGAGAGGACGACCAGCCACACUGGGACUGAGACACGGCCCAGACUCCUACGGGAGGCAGCAGUGGGGAAUUUUGGACAAUGGGGGCAACCCUGAUCCAGCCAUGCCGCGUGCGGGAAGAAGGCCUUCGGGUUGUAAAGCGCUUUUGUUCGGGAAGAAAUGCUCUGGGCUAAUACCCCGGGGGGAUGACGGUACCGGAAGAAUAAGCACCGGCUAACUACGUG
rnacentral:rRNA from 1 species